AAGGACACUUCCCUAUUCCAUAGUGUGGCUGGAUCAGUCAAAUAUUCUUUUCUCUUCUGCAUAAUUAUUUUGCUCUCUUCUAUCCAAAGAAAACUUGUGACAAGGUGUACCAGCCUCGCAGUCCUACUACACCCAGCCUCGGGGAAAGAGCUGCGAAGGUGGGCCCUCCAGGUCUGUCUAGAGAGGCAGAACAGAAGCAGCCAAUCAGAGCCCAGCAGAUGCAGAUAAAAAGAGCUAAAGGGGCCUAGCAGGUCAGUUCCUGGCUAGGAUUAGAAGGGCAAGGGAAGGUGCUUCUCUUUGGCCACAGGAGCUUGACUGAUUGCAUUUGCUCAAACUGGGAGAGAGAGGACACGAGAACUUUAACCUUAAGGACUUCACAGAUCUGUGACCUAAAACCUGGGCUCAGGCAAUAAAGUUGCCAGAUGGGGACAUGCAGGUAGGAGAAAGGAAGGAGACUGGAGGGGCAAUAUUGGAGU